GCCAUAAAAUAUAUUGUUAGAAAGAAAGGAGGCGCUAACACCUCCAUUGCUAAGUAUCCACCUUCCUAAACCGAGAGUCUGCUCGUGUUACUCAGAUUGCAGACUUCAGACUGGCCAAAUGUUUGUGAAAAAUAUAUGACCUUCUUGUUUUCCUAUACAAAACCAGGAAUCAUAACAGUGCUCACUACAGAGAAUGGCUGUGAGGGUUAAAUGAAAUAAUCAAAUGAAGAACUGGACAUUUGACACAGGCCUCUUAACCACUGUGUUACUGAUGCUGAGGCUGCUGACAAGGCAGAGCUGAGCUGUCUGGCCGGGAGAAUGCACUUGCAAAGCGGGAACUUGAG
rnacentral:lncRNA from 1 species